CCUACGGGAGGCAGCAGUGGGGAAUUUUGCGCAAUGCGCGUAAGCCUGACGCAGCGACGCCGCGUGAAUGACGAAGGCCUUCGGGUCGUAAAGUUCUUUUGAUAGGGAAGAAAAUGCCUAUAAGUAACUGUGUAUGUAUUGACGGUACCUGUAUAAGCAGCCCCGGCUAACUCCGUGCCCGCAGCCGCGGUAAUACGGAGGGGGCGAGCGUUGUUCGGAGGGACUGGGCGUAAAGAGCACGUAGGCGGGGUUGUAAGUCAUUAGUCAAAGACUAGAGCUCAACUUUAGUAAGGCUAGUGAUACUAUAAUACUAGAGUAUGAGAGAGGAUGGCAGAAUUCGUGGUGUAGCGGUGAAAUGCGUAGAUAUCAGGAGGAAUACCGAUAGCGAAGGCGGCAAGCUGGAGCGAAACUGACGCUGAGGUGCGAAAGCGUGGGUAGCAAACAGGAUUAGAUACCCCUGUAGUC
rnacentral:rRNA from 1 species